GACGAACGCUGGCGGCGUGCUUAACACAUGCAAGUCGAGCGGAGCGGCGAACGGGUGAGUAACGCGUGAGUAACUGCCCCCCUCCCUGGGAUAACAGUUGGCAACGGCUGCUAAUAACGGAUAGUGGGGGAUGCCUCGCGUCCUAUCAGCUUGUUGGUGGGGUAGUGGCCUCCCAAUGCGACGACGGGUAGCCGGUCUGAGUGGGCGACCGGCCACAUUGGGCUGAGAUACGGCCCAAAACACUACGGGAGGCAGCAGUGGGGAAUAUUGCGCAAUAGGGGAAACCCUGAUGCAGUAACGCCGCGUGCGGGAUAACGGCCUUCGAGUUGAAAACCGCUUUCAGCCAUGACGCGGUAGUGGCAGAAGAAGCACCGGGUAACUACGUGCCAGCAACCACGGUAAUAC
rnacentral:rRNA from 1 species